CCUACGGGAGGCAGCAGUGGGGAAUAUUGGACAAUGGGGGCAACCCUGAUCCAGCCAUGCCGCGUGUGUGAAGAAGGCCCUCGGGUUGUAAAGCACUUUCAGUGAGGAAGAACGCCUGGUGGUUAAUACCCAUCAGGAAAGACAUCACUCACAGAAGAAGCACCGGCUAACUCCGUGCCAGCAGCCGCGGUAAUACGGAGGGUGCGAGCGUUAAUCGGAAUUACUGGGCGUAAAGCGCGCGUAGGUGGCUUGAUAAGCCGGUUGUGAAAGCCCCGGGCUCAACCUGGGAACGGCAUCCGGAACUGGCAAGCUAGAGUGCAGGAGAGGAAGGUAGAAUUCCCGGUGUAGCGGUGAAAUGCGUAGAGAUCGGGAGGAAUACCAGUGGCGAAGGCGGCCUCCUGGACUGAUACUGACACUGAGGUGCGAAAGCGUGGGUAGCAAACAGGAUUAGAUACCCCAGUAGUC
rnacentral:rRNA from 1 species